AUUCAGUUAAGUACUAGAAGUUUUGCCCUCUUUUUAGCUCUGAUAAAUCCCACUAGGAUGUUCAGGCUAGACUGUGCUGACUGGGUUUUUCAGAACAGCUGAAAUGAGUCAAGUAUUUAUUUCCCAUGAGAAUUAAAGUAUCUCCUUCAAGUUCCCUUCAAAAUUCCAUCCAAGUAAAAUGCAACGGAGAUACUUAAUCUGGUUGAAUUUCAUUGGACAAUGCACUGGAGACCACAUCCCUUCAAACAUAACAUUUUGGUAAAUGGACAUAGUACUUCAACAUACCAAUGCUGAAGUACUGGUUAUGAGCAACUUCAGUUGCUAUUAUUGAGGCUCUUUUACAAGUAAUUGCAAGUAGGAAUUUGUAUGUAGGCAACUGCAUAUAGGUUAUAUCAUGAACAAUGCAGAGCUACUCCAGUUGGAGAAUUUGCACAAGAAGGUCAAAGUGUAAGGCAAGUUACCUGUAUAGCAUCCCAUAGCAAUUUGGGGUUGGUUUUAUUUUUGUGUUUUAACUGGAAAACAUGUUUUAGCUGAUUUUAAUGGAUGUAGAAUCUGUUAACGUUUGUGUACUGUGGCUUAUUUUUACAUGCUUAUUUCACAUGACCUAGAAACACAAAGAAGAGGAUGACUUUGGUUCCAAUUUGGAUAAAGGUUUUGCAAAAGCAGUGCACUACAUACAGAACAUAAUGAUUGGUGGGGGAAUUGUAGAAAACAGUCACUCUGUGCCCUUCUGACAGUUAUGAGAUUCUGAGAUAGGAGAAGAAUAUGAACAUGGUAAAAGCAACAUCGAAAAGCAACAUGGGGAAAGAAUACAUCCCACUUGAAAACUGGUGCAAAUUUCCAUUGACAAAUAAGCUGAAUUUGGCCCUGGUGAUACUGUGAAUAAUACAGCAUAAACUAAAAGCUAACUAUAUUUGAAUUCAAAAGAGGACAAGGAAGAACAUACAGCCAAUGAACUCUCCCUUGGCAGCUGACUAAUUACAGGAGAAUGGGGACUGCAAGUCAACAAAGGUCUGGGAAGGAGAGACAGAGCUACAUACUGAAUUGUCUUUUGGCAUUUCUUCUAACAGGGAAAAAAUGCCUGGAUUCUGGGAAUGCUACAAUAAGUAUAUAUGUGUGCUGCUUAUUUUGGGUAAAGUUUUCAAAACCUCUUAAGUUAUUUUAAGAUUAACUUGCUGUCUUUCAGAGAGACUCAGUCACCUAUUUUGCCCUGUUUUAAGGAAAUGGUACACUACUUAUGGGUAUAUUCUGGAAAUAUUACUGACAGAUAUUGUUAACAAGCUCAGUUAUGUCUCAGUGGUAGAUUUUAGCAAGCAGUUUUAUAAAGCCUUAAAAAGUCCCCUGUAGCAUAAACAUGAUAUAUACAAAAUAUGCAGAUAUAUAGGCUAAAUGCUGCCCACAUGACAUAUCCCAGUAAAGAUAACGCACAUUGUAAAAGUAGAUUCUAACCAUGGUGUUUGUAUACAAAACAGUAUUAUAGGCCCAACGAAUCCGUUGCCAUGUAGCCAACUAUAGCCAUAUGUCAGAGCUGUGACAUUACUGUGUUUUUUAAAGAGUAAAGGCUGUUAUGUGCAUUAGUAAUGUAAAUUAUAUUUUGAUUGAAUGAAUACAGUUCCAAAACACACCAUCACACAAGCAAACUUUGGACAAAAUUGCUAACUUUACUACCUUAUAAUGUAAAGUAUUGAUUAGCAAAAGGGAGGGUCAUUUGCUAAAGCUGUUUCUUCUUGUAGAAAGGUGUAGAAAUGUAAGCAGUAUAGUAUUCUGCUUUUUUUAUAGUCAUUGUUAAUAGCAAACACUACACUUAACAUUCCAAAACAGGUUUCACUGUGAUUCCAUAUUCAUCUGUUCAUGCAAAUGAUCUACUAAGACACCAUAUGGUGUUAAUCUUGAUUCAGUGAGGAAGGGAUUGGAAAAUUUAAGAAACACAAGGAAAUUUAUUUGUAAAAUAAGAAAUGGUAUGAAAGUUUUCCAAAAAAUGA